AACUUUUAACAACGGAUCACUUGGCUCUCGCAUCGAUGAAGAACGCAGCGAAAUGCGAUACGUAAUGUGAAUUGCAGAAUUCAGUGAAUCAUCGAUUCUUUGAACGCACCUUGCGCCCCUUGGAAUUCCGAGGGGCACACCCGUUUGAGUGUCGUGAACAUCCUUCAACCUUUCUUGGUUUCCUUAACCGGGGAAGGCUUGGACUUUGGGGGUCUUUCAUUGCUGGCCUCUUUGAAGCCAGCUCCUCCUAAAUGGAUUAGUGUGGUCUGCUUUGCCGAUCCUUGACGUGAUAAGAUGUUUCUACGUCUUGGGUUUCGCACUGUCGCUUUAGACCCCGCUUCUAACCGUCUUGCAUUCAAGACAGAGUUUUAAACCUUGACCUCAAAUCGGGUGAGACUACCCGCUGAACUUAAGCAUAUCAAUAAGCGGAGGCU
rnacentral:misc_RNA from 1 species